rnacentral:tRNA from 1 species
UGGGAUGUAGUUCAGUAGUAUAGAGCACUUGCCUAGCAUGUAUAAGGUCCUCGGUUUGAUUCCCAGCAUUACAA